rnacentral:rRNA from 1 species
GACGAACGCUGGCGGCGUGCUUAACACAUGCAAGUCGAACGGAAAGGCCCUGCUUUUGUGGGGUGCUCGAGUGGCGAACGGGUGAGUAACACGUGAGUAACCUGCCCUUGACUUUGGGAUAACUUCAGGAAACUGGGGCUAAUACCGGAUAUGAGCUCCUGCUGCAUGGUGGGGGUUGGAAAGUUUCGGCGGUUGGGGAUGGACUCGCGGCUUCUCAGCUUGUUUGUGGGGUAGUGGCUUACCAAGGCUUUGACGGGUAGCCGGCCUGAGAGGGUGACCGGCCACAUGGGGACUGAGAGACGGACCAGACUCCUACGGGAGGCAGCAGGGGGGAAUAUGGCGCAAUGGGGGGAAGCCUGAUGCAGCAACGCCGGGUGCGGGAUGACGGCCUUCGGGUUGUAAACCGCUUUCGCCUGUGACGAAGCGUGAGUGACGGUAAUGGGUAAAGAAGCACCGGCUAACUACGUG